GGGCACGAUCAUACCAACGCUAAUGCACCGGAUCCCAUCAGAACUCCGCAGUUAAGUUUUCUUGGGCGAGGUUAGUACUAGGUUGGGAGUCCUCCAAGGAAGUCCUCGUGUUGCACCCC
rfam:Gossypium hirsutum cultivar TM-1 unplaced genomic scaffold scaffold4672.1, whole genome shotgun sequence